UACGAAGGGGGCUAGCGUUGCUCGGAAUCACUGGGCGUAAAGCGCACGUAGGCGGAUUUGUAAGUCAGGGGUGAAAUCCCGGGGCUCAACCUCGGAACUGCCUUUGAUACUGCGAAUCUUGAGUCCGAUAGAGGUGGGUGGAAUUCCUAGUGUAGAGGUGAAAUUCGUAGAUAUUGGGAAGAACACCGGUGGCGAAGGCGGCGACCUGGUCCGAUACUGACGCUGAGGCGCGAAAGCGUGGGGAGCAAACAGG
rnacentral:rRNA from 1 species